AAUGUGAGAGACAUUUAAUUUAAUUAAUUAAUGAUAAGUUUGGUGAUUAAAACUUAAUAAGAGUGAAAAAAGGUGUCAAAAGCCAAUUUGGACUUUUCUUCUUAUGAAACCUUUAUUAAAAAAAAAAAAAAAAAUGAAAUGAUCAUAUAUGGCAAAGGGUGGCCGGCCAUGUGGUGUUUUAGGUGGUGUGAACCCAACUUAAUAAAGAUAAAUCUCAUUUUAACUAAGUCAAGUCAAGUGGGCAAGUGGGAGGAAAACACUUGAGUGUUUUUGAGAUAAAUUAGAUAGUAUAUAACUCUCCCAUCCCUCCCCAACCGAUCACACCACCCUCUCUCAUUCACUCAUCUGAUUUUUUAAGACCAUUCAAAGUGUUCUCUCAAUAUUCAACCUCAAGAACACCAAGGAAAACUUGGAGGCUAAGUCUUGGUCUAGGAAGUAUUUUCCCUAAGUUGGUUAGGGUUUUUGAAAGGCUUUGGAGGAGCCAAAGCUAAUAGGAAGGUCCAAACCUUAAGCAAGAACACCAAAGAGGUAAGAGCAAAGGCAAGGCAGAGCAGUGAGCGCUGGAGUCUUCCUUGCAAAUGUACAUGUGGACCGACCUUUUGGGAAGCCGUUUUAUUUUUGGAAAUGUUGUGUAAUUUUCCUAAACUAGGCUCACUAUACUCUUUAUAAAACAUGUUUGUAAAUAAAUGUUAAGUAUGGCCAUACGACUUUUUAAAAAAAGUUUUUUUUUUA